rnacentral:rRNA from 1 species
CCUACGGGGUGCAGCAGUCGCGAAAACUUCACACUGGGGGCAACCCCGAUGAGGGAAUUCCUAGUGCAUGCAUUAAAUGUAUGCUUUUCUUUAGUAUAGAACGCUAAAGGAAUAAGGGCUGGGAAAGACGGGUGCCAGCCGCCGCGGUAAUACCCGCAGCCCGAGUGGUGGUCGAUAUUAUUGAGUCUAAAACGUUCGUAGCCUGUUCAGUAAAUCUUUGGGUAAAUCGGUGAGCUUAACUUACCGAAUUCCGAGGAGACUGCUGAACUUGGGACCGGGAGAGGCUAGAGGUACUUCUGGGGUAGGGGUAAAAUCCUGUAAUCCUAGAAGGACCACCGGUGGCGAAGGCGUCUAGCUAGAACGGAUCCGACGGUGAGGGACGAAGCCCUGGGGCGCAAACGGGAUUAGAUACCCCCGUAGUCC